rnacentral:rRNA from 1 species
CUGGCGGCGUGCUUACACAUGCAAGUCGAACGAUGAUGCCCAGCUUGCUGGGUGGAUUAGUGGCGAACGGGUGAGUAACACGUGAGUAACCUGCCCCUGACUCUGGGAUAAGCGUUGGAAACGACGUCUAAUACUGGAUAUGAUCACUGGCCGCAUGGUCUGGUGGUGGAAAGAUUUUUUGGUUGGGGAUGGACUCGCGGCCUAUCAGCUUGUUGGUGAGGUAAUGGCUCACCAAGGCGACGACGGGUAGCCGGCCUGAGAGGGUGACCGGCCACACUGGGACUGAGACACGGCCCAGACUCCUACGGGAGGCAGCAGUGGGGAAUAUUGCACAAUGGGCGAAAGCCUGAUGCAGCAACGCCGCGUGAGGGAUGACGGCCUUCGGGUUGUAAACCUCUUUUAGUAGGGAAGAAGCGAAAGUGACGGUACCUGCAGAAAAAGCACCGGCUAACUACGUGCCAGCAGCCGCGGUAAUACGUAGGGUGCAAGCGUUGUCCGGAAUUAUUGGGCGUAAAGAGCUCGUAGGCGGUUUGUCGCGUCUGCUGUGAAAUCCCGAGGCUCAACCUCGGGCUUGCAGUGGGUACGGGCAGACUAGAGUGCGGUAGGGGAGAUUGGAAUUCCUGGUGUAGCGGUGGAAUGCGCAGAUAUCAGGAGGAACACCGAUGGCGAAGGCAGAUCUCUGGGCCGUAACUGACGCUGAGGAGCGAAAGCAUGGGGAGCGAACAGGAUUAGAUACCCUGGUAGUCCAUGCCGUAAACGUUGGGCGCUAGAUGUAGGGACCUUUCCACGGUUUCUGUGUCGUAGCUAACGCAUUAAGCGCCCCGCCUGGGGAGUACGGCCGCAAGGCUAAAACUCAAAGGAAUUGACGGGGGCCCGCACAAGCGGCGGAGCAUGCGGAUUAAUUCGAUGCAACGCGAAGAACCUUACCAAGGCUUGACAUACACCGGAAACGGCCAGAGAUGGUCGCCCCCUUGUGGUCGGUGUACAGGUGGUGCAUGGUUGUCGUCAGCUCGUGUCGUGAGAUGUUGGGUUAAGUCCCGCAACGAGCGCAACCCUCGUUCUAUGUUGCCAGCGGGUUAUGCCGGGGACUCAUAGGAGACUGCCGGGGUCAACUCGGAGGAAGGUGGGGAUGACGUCAAAUCAUCAUGCCCCUUAUGUCUUGGGCUUCACGCAUGCUACAAUGGCCGGUACAAAGGGCUGCGAUACCGUAAGGUGGAGCGAAUCCCAAAAAGCCGGUCUCAGUUCGGAUUGAGGUCUGCAACUCGACCUCAUGAAGUCGGAGUCGCUAGUAAUCGCAGAUCAGCAACGCUGCGGUGAAUACGUUCCCGGGCCUUGUACACACCGCCCGUCAAGUCAUGAAAGUCGGUAACACCCGAAGCCGGUGG